rnacentral:tRNA from 1 species
AAGAAAUAUCCACCAAAAAUUAAGCUUCUAACUUAAAUUUUAGCAGUGAAAUUCUGUUAAUAUUUCU